rnacentral:tRNA from 1 species
GGUUCCGUGGCCGAGUGGCUAGGCAGAGCUCUGCAAAAGCUUCCACAGCAGUUCGAAUCUGCUCGGGACCUCAA